UGGGGAAUUUUGGACAAUGGGGGAAACCCUGAUCCAGCCAUCCCGCGUGUGCGAUGAAGGCCUUCGGGUUGUAAAGCACUUUUGGCAGGAAAGAAACGUCAUGGGUUAAUACCCCGUGAAACUGACGGUACCUGCAGAAUAAGCACCGGCUAACUACGUGCCAGCAGCCGCGGUAAUACGUAGGGUGCAAGCGUUAAUCGGAAUUACUGGGCGUAAAGCGUGCGCAGGCGGUUCGGAAAGAAAGAUGUGAAAUCCCAGAGCUCAACUUUGGAACUGCAUUUUUAACUACCGGGCUAGAGUGUGUCAGAGAGAGGUGGAAUUCCGCGUGUAGCAGUGAAAUGCGUAGAUAUGCGGGGGAACACCGAUGGCGAAGGCAGCCUCCUGGGAUAACACUGACGCUCAUGCACGAAAGCGUGGGGAGCAAACAGG
rnacentral:rRNA from 1 species